CCUAACACAUGCAAGUCGUACGGAGAAGUUAUUCUUAGUGGCGGACGGGUGAGUAACACGUAAGAAUCUACCUCUAGGAAGGGGAUAACAUUUAGAGAUAAUUGCUAAUACCCUAUAUGCCGUUUGGUGAAAGAAGCAAUUCGCCUAAAGAGGAGCUUGCGUCUGAUUAGCUAGUUGGUGGGGUAAAGGCCUACCAAGGCGACGAUCGGUAGUUGGUCUGAGAGGAUGACCAGCCACAUUGGAACUGAGACACGGUCCAGACUCCUACGGGAGGCAGCAGUGAGGAAUUUUCUGCAAUGGGCGCAAGCCUGACAGAGCAAUACCGCGUGAGGGAUGACGGCCUAUGGGUUGUAAACCUCUUUUCUCAAGGAGGAAGAUCUGACGUUACUUGAGGAAUAAGCAUCGGCUAACCCUGUGCCAGCAGCCGCGGUAAUACAGGGGAUGCGAGUGUUAUCCGGAAUUAUUGGGCGUAAAGCGUCUGCAGGUGGAUAAGUAAGUCUUAUGUUAAAUUUCUAGGCUCAACCUGGAGUCGGCAAAGGAAACUGCUUAUCUCGAGUAUGGUAGGGGUAAAGGGAAUUUCAAGUGGAGCGGUGA
rnacentral:rRNA from 1 species